UCGCUCUGUUUUCGAGUCGGUCGGGUGUGCGAGCUGCAACGAUGUGCUUGUUAGAUCGUGUGUUUUUGUGUUUGCUGUAACCAAAUGUGACUUAGUUCGCGUGCGCAUAAGCGCCACAGACAACUUGUGUCUCGCUGCAAACUCGCCGUGUGCGUGGCGCGCCAGCGAAAUGUGGACCAACGAUGUUCAUGCUGUGGAGUGCGUUCCCUUUGUCUCUGGUUGUCGUGGAAAGUUGGGUGGACGUCGCGAAGAAAUAAUGCGUGUUGUUAGCGUGCCACUGCUCGUCCACUAUGCACCGGUAUGUCUGCUGGGAGUAGCAUCGAAGCACUGGCAACUUGGAGGGCGCUUUUCGACCGCGUCGGGCCGUUCAAAAGUGGUGAAGCCGUGACCCACAACAGUGUCCACAUAACCCGUGGCCAUGGCUGCAGCAACACGGCGUGUAAUCUGGAUGGAUAUGUCAGGGUACACAUGCACUUACUUCAAGAUGACGACACUCCACCUCAA